rnacentral:rRNA from 1 species
GCUCAGGAUGAACGCUGGCGGCGUGCUUAACACAUGCAAGUCGAACGAUGAUCCCAGCUUGCUGGGGGAUUAGUGGCGAACGGGUGAGUAACACGUGAGUAACCUGCCCUUGACUCUGGGAUAAGCCUGGGAAACUGGGUCUAAUACCGGAUACGACCAUCUGGCGCAUGUCAUGGUGGUGGAAAGCUUUUGUGGUUUUGGAUGGACUCGCGGCCUAUCAGCUUGUUGGUGGGGUAAUGGCCUACCAAGGCGACGACGGGUAGCCGGCCUGAGAGGGUGACCGGCCACACUGGGACUGAGACACGGCCCAGACUCCUACGGGAGGCAGCAGUGGGGAAUAUUGCACAAUGGGCGCAAGCCUGAUGCAGCGACGCCGCGUGAGGGAUGACGGCCUUCGGGUUGUAAACCUCUUUCAGUAGGGAAGAAGCGAAAGUGACGGUACCUGCAGAAGAAGCGCCGGCUAACUACGUGCCAGCAGCCGCGGUAAUACGUAGGGCGCAAGCGUUAUCCGGAAUUAUUGGGCGUAAAGAGCUCGUAGGCGGUUUGUCGCGUCUGCUGUGAAAGACCGGGGCUCAACUCCGGUUCUGCAGUGGGUACGGGCAGACUAGAGUGCAGUAGGGGAGACUGGAAUUCCUGGUGUAGCGGUGAA